AAAUGUUACUACCGAUAAUCUGUGGUCCAGCAGUUAGUGUGUGAACAACGCCAGUUAUAAGACGGUCGUCAAACUUACUGUGUUAGAACCUCUCUCACCUCUAGACCUGCAUGUAACACGGAUUAUCAGAUUUACCUGUUUUACAUGAGAUUUAUAUUUUACCUUUAAUUAACCCACAUUUCAACCUACAGACAUGGGGUUAAUAAUGAGUACCGUCAACUAUAUAUUUGGUGGAGGAGGAGGGGGACCAGAAAUGGACAUACCUGAUAAAGUUACUGGUUUAUCCAAGAGAGAGCAACUCGCCAUUACAUCUAGCUGGGAUCUAAUCAAGGUUAAUGCAAAAGAUAAUGGCGUUGAACUAUUUAUUAGAUUGUUUAAAGCCUAUCCUAAAUCACAAGAUUAUUUCGAACAUUUUAAAGGCAAGGACCCAGAAAGUUUGAGGAAGAAAACUAUGUUACGUGUACACGGUACGACCGUGAUACACGCAUUAAAUAGUAUGGUGGAGAACCUAGAUGAUCCAGAAUGUUUGAUUGGUCUGUUGGAGAGAAACGCCUUGAGUCAUUAUCCACGUGGUAUCAGAAUUCAACAU